rnacentral:rRNA from 1 species
CUAUAAUGCAGUCGAGCGAAUCUAGAGAGGAGCUUGCUCCCAAAGAUUAGCGGCGGACGGGUGAGUAACACGUGGGUAACCUGCCUGUAAGAUUGGGAUAACUCCGGGAAACCGGAGCUAAUACCGGAUAACAUUUUGAACCGCAUGGUUCAAAAUUGAAAGACGGCUUCUGCUGUCCCUUUCCGAUGGACCCCCGGCGCAUUAACUAAUUGGGGAAGUAACGGCUCCCCCAGGGAACCAUGCCUAACCCAACUGAAAAGGUGAUCCGCCCCCCUGGGACUGAAACCCGGCCCAAAAUCCUACCGGAAGCAACAAUAAGGAAUCCUCCCCAAUGGACCAAAGUCUGAAGGAACAACCCCCCGUGGACGAUGAAGGGCUUCCGGUCCUAAAGUUCUGGUGGUAAGGAAAAACCAGUACCCAAAUAACUGGUGGUACCUUGGCGGUACCUAACCCGAAAGCCCCGGCUAACUACCUGCCCGCAGCCCCGGUAAUACGUAAGUGGCAAGCGUUGUCCCAGAUUAUUGGGGGUUAAGCGCCCCCAGCGUUUCUUAAUCUGAUGGGAAGCCCCC